GCGUGAGUGAAGAAGGCCUUCGGGUUGUAAAGCUCUUUCGCCCACGACGAUGAUGACGGUAGUGGGAGAAGAAGCCCCGGCUAACUCCGUGCCAGCAGCCGCGGUAAUACGGAGGGGGCUAGCGUUGUUCGGAAUUACUGGGCGUAAAGCGCACGUAGGCGGCAUGUUUAGUCAGAGGUGAAAGGCCUGGGCUCAACCCGGGAAUUGCCUUUGAUACUGACAAGCUUGAGUCCGAGAGGGGGUGGUGGAACUCCCAGUGUAGAGGUGAAAUUCGU
rnacentral:rRNA from 1 species